UUCAUAAAAGCCUCUGUUCUUCACCGGUCCAGGGAUGGGGUGGAUCGGGAUGGUCCGGUCCCGAUUUGGCUGAGGAGGAGGCCGGUCCAUCUACGGCGGCUCCGGCGCCGGCGAGCGUCGCGGCGGUGGACAGAGGUGGAGGCGAGGCCGAGGGGCUCGUGGGGCGGCCGGAUCCAUGACGAGUCGGGCCGGAUCUGGCGGCGGGCGCAACACACCAUGUGGC
rnacentral:lncRNA from 1 species